rnacentral:rRNA from 1 species
GUGGGGAAUAUUGGGCAAUGGGCGAAAGCCUGACCCAGCAACGCCGCGUGAGGGAAGAAGGCCUUCGGGUUGUAAACCUCUGUCCUUGGUGACGAAAAAAAUGACGGUAGCCAAGGAGGAAGCCCCGGCUAACUACGUGCCAGCAGCCGCGGUAAUACGUAGGGGGCGAGCGUUGUCCGGAAUUACCGGGCGUAAAGGGUGCGUAGGUGGCCUUUUAAGUUGGAUGUGAAAUACCCGGGCUUAACUUGGGGGGUGCAUCUAAUACUGGAGGGCUAGAGUGCAGGAGAGGGAAGCGGAAUUCCUAGUGUAGCGGUGAAAUGCGUAGAUAUUAGGAGGAACACCAGUGGCGAAGGCGGCUUUCUGGACUGUAACUGACACUGAGGCACGAAAGCGUGGGGAGCAAACAGGAUUAGAUACCCGAGUAGUCC